GCGCCCGUAGCUCAGUGGACAGAGCAGCGGACUUCUAUUCCGCCGGUCGGAGGUUCGAAUCCUCCCGGGCGCG
rnacentral:tRNA from 1 species